GCCCUGAUGUGGGGGAUAACCAUUGGAAACGAUGGCUAAUACCGCAUAAUGCCUACGGGCCAAAGAGGGGGACCUUCGGGCCUCUCGCGUCAGGAUAUGCCUAGGUGGGAUUAGCUAGUUGGUGAGGUAAUGGCUCACCAAGGCGACGAUCCCUAGCUGGUCUGAGAGGAUGAUCAGCCACACUGGAACUGAGACACGGUCCAGACUCCUACGGGAGGCAGCAGUGGGGAAUAUUGCACAAUGGGCGCAAGCCUGAUGCAGCCAUGCCGCGUGUGUGAAGAAGGCCUUCGGGUUGUAAAGCACUUUCAGUCGUGAGGAAGGUAGUGUAGUUAAUAGCUGCAUUAUUUGACGUUAGCGACAGAAGAAGCACCGGCUAACUCCGUGCCAGCAGCCGCGGUAAUACGGAGGGUGCGAGCGUUAAUCGGAAUUACUGGGCGUAAAGCGCAUGCAGGUGGUUUGUUAAGUCAGAUGUGAAAGCCCGGGGCUCAACCUCGGAAUUGCAUU
rnacentral:rRNA from 1 species